AUUGAACGCUGGCGGCAGGCUUAACACAUGCAAGUCGAGCGGGGUGAUGUAGCUUGCUACAUUACCUAGCGGCGGACGGGUGAGUAAUGCUUAGGAAUCUGCCUAUUAGUGGGGGACAACAUUCCGAAAGGAAUGCUAAUACCGCAUACGCCCUACGGGGGAAAGCAGGAGAUCUUCGGACCUUGAGCUAAUAGAUGAGCCUAAGUCAGAUUAGCGAGUUGGUGGGGUAAAGGCCUACCAAGGCGACGAUCUGUAGCGGGUCUGAGAGGAUGAUCCGCCACACUGGGACUGAGACACGGCCCAGACUCCUACGGGAGGCAGCAGUGGGGAAUAUUGGACAAUGGGCGAAAGCCUGAUCCAGCCAUGCCGCGUGUGUGAAGAAGGCCUUUUGGUUGUAAAGCACUUUAAGCGAGGAGGAGGCUACCGAGAUUAAUACUCUUGGAUAGUGGACGUUACUCGCAGAAUAAGCACCGGCUAACUCUGUGCCAGCAGCCGCAGUAACAC
rnacentral:rRNA from 1 species